UUAUUGUAACCCUCAUACAUUAUUUUGAUUAUAGUUGAUUGAUCUAUUUGCUGUUGCUAUUUCGUAAUCGCCAACGCAAGCAAUGUAUUUUUGCUGUAAUUGUUGUUGUUGUCAUUGUUUGUUGUUAAAAUCUUCUUUUUUUAUGAAUUUUAGACUUGACUUGUAUAUUGAAUUAUACAAGUUUUCUCGAUGAAACGAGAAAGGCAUUUGAGUGCAGUGCUGUUUAUUCAUCUGCUCACUUCCAAAAUCAUGUUCGCUCAAAUAGUACCCAGAUUGAAUAUUAGCCUACCACCCAUAAACAUAAAUACCGGAAAUAAGCCCUUCACAUUCAGUGGAACCCCAAUAGUAUCAUCUACUGGAAGACUUAUCGGGGGGACCGCUGGGAUCAAUUGGAAGCCCGCGGGGUCCAACACUGGGUUCAACGGGAACCUGGGUUGGAGCGAGGGAACGGGUUGGAGUGGCGGCUUAGGAGUUCGCAUAAAUUUUGGCGGAGGCAGAGGCAGAGGCAGAGGCAGAGGUUGAGGUGGGGGCGGAGGGGUAGGCGGAAGAAAUGAAUUAAAACUCGCCCCAUCUGAAUGAUGUUGUUAUUCAGUGUAUGCAAGUAAUAGAAAUAUACUUGUUGUUCAAAUAAACAUAUAAACGAA